rnacentral:rRNA from 1 species
UACGGAGGAUGCAAGCGUUAUCCGGAAUGAUUGGGCGUAAAGCGUCCGCAGGUGGCAAUGUAAGUCUGCUGUCAAAGCGUCUGGCUCAACCAGAUAAAGGCAGUGGAAACUACAUAGCUAGAGUAAGGUAGGGGUAGAGGGAAUUCCUGGUGUAGCGGUGAAAUGCGUAGAGAUCAGGAAGAACACCGGUGGCGAAAGCGCUCUGCUGGACCUUAACUGACACUGAGGGACGAAAGCUAGGGGAGCGAAUGG